rnacentral:misc_RNA from 1 species
GGUGGGUCUUUUUCAUGAGGUAAGUCCAUGCUAGCACAGGCUGUGAUGCCUGUAGUGUUUGUGCUAGGCGAAACCAUAAGCCUAGGGACGAGAAAUCGUUACGGCAGUCGAAAUGGCUAAGUCUUCGGAUAGGUCAGAGUAGGCUUGAAAGUGCCACAGUGACGGAGUCUCUCUGGAAACGGAGAGAGUGGAACGCGGUAAACCCCUCAAGCUUAGCAACCCAA